AGGUAAGAAACCUAGGACCAAAGCACCCAAGAUUCAGCGUCUUGUUACUCCACGUGUCCUGCAGCACAAACGGCGGCGUAUUGCUCUGAAGAAGCAGCGUACCAAGAAAAAUAAAGAAGAGGCUGCAGAAUAUGCUAAACUUUUGGCCAAGAGAAUGAAGGAGGCUAAGGAAAAGCGCCAGGAACAAAUUGUGAAGAGACGCAGACUUUCCUCUCUGCGAGCUUCUACUUCUAAGUGAGUAAAAA
rnacentral:lncRNA from 1 species